AAUAUUAUGUUCACCAUAGUACUUGAGAGUUAAAAAAAAAAGGGUAUUGAUCAAAUUGAUGCAUGGCUGCACCAAACAGAAGGCAACUAUGGCGAAUUCUGGAUGUAAAAUACCCUAUGCUCCAAGCCUAACUGCAUUAUUCUAGCAGUUUCUUCUGCCAACUAGGAUCUUGCUACAUAUGUUGCUAUCAAAAUUUCUCGUGAGGUUGAUCCACAAGAAUUGCAGAAUUUUAAAAAGAUCAAUGGGGAGACAUAUUGAGCUGAUGUAACGGGACCAGGAUUUUGCACUUGCUGCUAUUGAGUUGGAUUGGAAAAUAAGGUCUUAACUCCAGUUAGAUAUCUUGAGCAGAAAAAUAAUUUCAUAUUGUAUUUCUAUGUUUUCAAACUUAGAUUUGAUGUCAUUCUAUGUUUCUGAAAUUUAUGUCUUACAAACAUAUUGUAUAUCUAGUUGGAGAUUCAAUAUAUAUAGCUUGAUUUGCUGUUAACUAUGA